rnacentral:sRNA from 2 species
GGACAGUCAUCGCCGAGUCCCCGUACGGCGCGAGCCAGGGGAGCCGGGGACCCAACCGCAGUCCCUGGGGUGAAUCGGACGCCCGCGCGCGCAGCGAGGGGGUCCGUAGGAGACCUUCCUGCUCCGAACCCGUCAGCUAACCCGGUAGGCGAGAGGGAAGGAAAGG